rnacentral:rRNA from 1 species
CCUACGGGAGGCAGCAGUCGAGAAUCAUUCACAAUGGGGGAAACCCUGAUGGGCGACGCCGCGUGGGGGAAUGAAGGUCUUCGGAUUGUAAACCCCUGUCAUGUGGGAGCAAAUUAAAAAGAUAGUACCCAAAGAGGAAGAGACGGCUAACUCUGUGCCAGCCGCCGCGGGAAUACAGAGGUCUCAAGCGUUGUUCGGAAUCAAUGGGCGUAAAGCGUGCGGAGGCUGUUUCGUAAGUCGUGUGUGAAAGGCGCGGGCUCAACCCGCGGACGGCACAUGAUACUGCGAGACUAGAUUAAUGGAGGGGGAACCGGAAUUCUCGGUGUAGCAGUGAAAUGCGUAGAUAUCGAGAGGAACACUCGUGGCGAAGGCGGGUUCCUGGACAUUAACUGACGCUGAGGCACGAAGGCCAGGGGAGCGAAAGGGAUUAGAUACCCUUGUAGUC